rnacentral:misc_RNA from 1 species
AGGAACAAGAGGACAUGCUGUGGAAUUCAGGACACGGGGAAACAGGGUAUACAAGGCUGUAACGACGUAAAAUUGGAAUUGAUGACUUUGAACAAUUAACUGUGAUUGGUAAAGGUGCAUUUGGUGAGGUCAGAUUAUGCCGAGCCAAAAGCACUGGAGAGAUUUUUGCCAUGAAGAAACUGAAGAAGUCUGAGAUGCUAAGCCGUGGGCAGGUUGAGCAUGUCCGAUCUGAGAGGAACUUACUUGCUGAGGUUGAUAGUCGAUGCAUUGUAAAACUUUUCUAUUCCUUUCAAGAUUCUGAUUUCUUAUACCUUAUCAUGGAGUACUUACCUGGUGGAGACAUAAUGACACUAUUGAUGAGAGAAGAUAUUCUUUCUGAAGAUGUUGCACGCUUUUACAUAGCAGAGAGCAUUCUAGCUAUACACUCAAUUCAUCAGCACAGUUAUGUUCAUAGGGAUAUAAAACCUGAUAACCUGAUACUAGACAAAAAUGGCCAUUUGAAGCUUUCAGAUUUUGGUCUGUGCAAGACCCUGGAUGAUAAGUAUUCAACAAUUUUACUCGAAAAUGAAGAUAUAUCUACUCAAGAAUGUGCAAUUGAUGUUGGAGGACAUUCUGUUAGUGAUCGAGCUCCUUGGUCAAUGCCCAAAGAAAAGUUACAACAAUGGAAACGUAAUCGCCGUGCACUGGCUUAUUCAACUGUUGGAACUCUUGAUUAUAUGGCGCCUGAAGUGUUGCUAAAGAAGGGAUAUGGAAUGGAGUGUGAUUGGUGGUCCCUGGGUGCAAUCAUGUACGAGAUGCUUUUAGGCUACCCUCCCUUCUGUUCUGAUGAUCCCAGAAUCACAUGCCGCAAGAUAAUCAAUUGGAAAACAUGCCUCAAAUUCCCUGAGGAACCAAAGAUAUCAAAUGACGCCAGAGAUCUUAUCUGCCACUUGCUCUGUGAUGUUGAAACAAGGCUGGGGACCAGAGGAGUGGAUGAAUUAAAGGCACAUCCAUGGUUCAGAUGCAUUCAGUGGGAUACGCUGUAUGAAAUGGAAGCUGCAUAUAAGCCUACGGUCAAUGGAGACUUGGAUACUCAAAACUUUGAGAAAUUUCCUGAUUUGGAAGGCCCACCAUCUGCAAUACCAAGAGUGGGACCAUGGAGGAAGAUGUUGACCUCAAAAGAUACCAAUUUCAUAGGAUUUACUUUCAACAAAUCUGAUGUCCUUAAAUCGCUAGAAAGUUCAGGUGCUGAUGUGAAAUCAAAUGUAUCUUCAAAG